AUGGUGACAAUGCUGGUGCUGUUGCGACCUCUUCUACUCAUCCUAUACUCCAACUCGUAUGUGCAGCGUGAACCUUCGGCUCUAUCCCACAUGCGCCCUCGCCACCAGCACGCAUGCUCCGGCAGCGCUAGGACGGAGAAGGCGGAGCCGUGGCACAUGAAGCUGCGGUCGGUGGUCCCUGAGGAGUGCAUGGUUGUGCGGGACAUCCACACAGGGGAGCCGGGGCGCUUUCACAGCGCGUGCUGGCGGAGUUCAUGCUAA
rnacentral:rRNA from 1 species